rnacentral:rRNA from 1 species
CCAAGGAGUCUAACAUGUGCGCGAGUCACUCAGUCUUGAAUAGGCUUGAGAGGCGCAAUGAAAGUAAAGUUGAUUGAUGGUGAUUCCGGGAUGUUGCUGAUUAAUUGGCGGCACUUGGACGCAACCAUGGCCGGCUCAUUUCGCUUUUUGACGAUUGAGCUGAGUUAUAGCGUACACGUUGGUACCCGAAAGAUGGUGAACUAUGCCUGGGCAAGACGAAGCCAGAGGAAACUCUGGUGGAGGUCUGUAGCGGUUCUGACGUGCAAAUCGAUCGUC